AGAGUUUGAUUCUGGCUCAGGACGAACGCUGGCGGCGCGCCUAACACAUGCAAGUCGAACGAGCGAGAGAGAGCUUGCUUUCUCGAGCGAGUGGCGAACGGGUGAGUAACGCGUGAGGAACCUGCCUCAAAGAGGGGGACAACAGUUGGAAACGACUGCUAAUACCGCAUAAGCCCACGGCUCGGCAUCGAGCAGAGGGAAAAGGAGCAAUCCGCUUUGAGAUGGCCUCGCGUCCGAUUAGCUAGUUGGUGAGGUAACGGCCCACCAAGGCAACGAUCGGUAGCCGGACUGAGAGGUUGAACGGCCACAUUGGGACUGAGACACGGCCCAGACUCCUACGGGAGGCAGCAGUGGGGAAUAUUGCACAAUGGGGGAAACCCUGAUGCAGCGACGCCGCGUGGAGGAAGAAGGUCUUCGGAUUGUAAACUCCUGUUGUUGGGGAAGAUAAUGACGGUACCCAACAAGGAAGUGACGGCUAACUACGUGCCAGCAGCCGCGGUAAAACGUAGGUCACAAGCGUUGUCCGGAAUUACUGGGUGUAAAGGGAGCGCAGGCGGGAAGACAAGUUGGAAGUGAAAUCUAUGGGCUCAACCCAUAAACUGCUUUCAAAACUGUUUUUCUUGAGUAGUGCAGAGGUAGGCGGAAUUCCCGGUGUAGCGGUGGAAUGCGUAGAUAUCGGGAGGAACACCAGUGGCGAAGGCGGCCUACUGGGCACCAACUGACGCUGAGGCUCGAAAGUGUGGGUAGCAAACAGGAUUAGAUACCCUGGUAGUCCACACCGUAAACGAUGAUUACUAGGUGUUGGAGGAUUGACCCCCUCAGUGCCGCAGUUAACACAAUAAGUAAUCCACCUGGGGAGUACGACCGCAAGGUUGAAACUCAAAGGAAUUGACGGGGGCCCGCACAAGCAGUGGAGUAUGUGGUUUAAUUCGACGCAACGCGAAGAACCUUACCAAGUCUUGACAUCCCUUGACAGGCAUAGAAAUAUGUUUUCUCUUCGGAGCAAGGAGACAGGUGGUGCAUGGUUGUCGUCAGCUCGUGUCGUGAGAUGUUGGGUUAAGUCCCGCAACGAGCGCAACCCUUAUGGUCAGUUACUACGCAAGAGGACUCUGGCCAGACUGCCGUUGACAAAACGGAGGAAGGUGGGGAGGACGUCAAAUCAUCAUGCCCUUUAUGACUUGGGCUACACACGUACUACAAUGGCGUUAAACAAAGAGAAGCGAGACCGCGAGGUGGAGCAAAACUCAGAAACAACGUCCCAGUUCGGACUGCAGGCUGCAACUCGCCUGCACGAAGUCGGAAUUGCUAGUAAUCGUGGAUCAGCAUGCCACGGUGAAUA
rnacentral:rRNA from 1 species